rnacentral:rRNA from 1 species
AUUGAACGCUGGCGGCAUGCCUUACACAUGCAAGUCGAACGGUAACAGGUUAAGCUGACGAGUGGCGAACGGGUGAGUAAUGUAUCGGAACGUGCCCAGUCGUGGGGGAUAACUGCUCGAAAGAGCAGCUAAUACCGCAUACGACCUGAGGGUGAAAGCGGGGGAUCGCAAGACCUCGCGCGAUUGGAGCGGCCGAUAUCAGAUUAGGUAGUUGGUGAGGUAAAGGCUCACCAAGCCGACGAUCUGUAGCUGGUCUGAGAGGACGACCAGCCACACUGGGAUUGAGACACGGACCAGACUCCUACGGGAAGCAGCAGGGGGGAAUUGGGGACAAUGGGCGCAAGGAUAAACCAGCCAUGCCGCGGGAGGGAAGAAGGCCUGCGGGUUGUAAACAGCUUUUGUCAGGGAAGAAAAGGUUCUGGCUAAUACCUGGGACUCAGGACGGUACCUGAAGAAUAAGCACCGGCUAACUACGUG